CGUCUGAAUUGUGUCAGCAGUAGGAGAAAGCUUUGUUAAACGUUAACAGCACUAACUGUGGCAUAAUCAUUUGCAUACAGAAGUCGUGAUGCUCUUCUCUCUUUGCUCUGUCCGUUCAUUCAUGUGAUUUAACAGCGACAAUUACAUCAAAAUAGAUUUACAAACCAGCAUUUGUAGACUAAAGAUAUGAUGUUAUCCAGUGUGCUGCAUGUCUACGAAUACCAGCAUUCUCUACUUUCUUUACUAGAACUGUAUGUUGAACUGUGUCAAAUGCCUUGGAUAAAUGAAGAAAAGCUCCAGACACUACCAUCUUGUUGUCCAAGGGAGCACUAAAGGACAAAGUACCACAACAAAUCCACAUGUUACAGGAACUCAAGAACUUCUCAAAGAGAAGUACAUUGUGUUGGGACAUUUCAGAUAGCGUAAAUAUGCCAAUGCCUGUUUUCCACUUAUUGCUUGUGGCACUACUGUAAUGUACUAAAUUAUAGGGUGUUGAAGAAAUGACAGUUGUGAUUAACCAGAUAGUCAGCUUCGAGUAACUGAAGCUUCCUGUUGAAAGGUAGAAGACAGGGAUGAAGUGCCAACCUAUUCUAAACUGGAAGUGCAGUCUGUAGCAAAUUAUGUGGAGAGUUUGUAUAGCAACAGUAAUAAUACAAGGUGUCCAAAAAAGGACUCUCUUACAUUAGAAUUAAAUAACAUGAUAACAGUGCAACAGAUGUUAUGUUUACUGUGAAAGCAGUAAGAAUUUUAUACAGAAUCUUCGAAAUAAUAGUUACAAAAGAUUCUAACAGAUGACACUGUGAUAGCAAAACAGUGUGCAUAUAAAUAAUAUUCAAAAGUCCAGAGCAAUCAGUUCCACAAAUCAGUUCAUCAAAUUCAAAUGGACAGGCAGCAUGGCAAUGUUGGGCCAGUGGCAGCUGUAGCUACUCUUGAAGAUGUCAGCACAGAUUCUGAAAGUAUUCAGCAGAAUAUGAGGAAAUUUGCCCAAAGAAUAUCUAUAGAGGCUGGUUUGAAGUGUUCAAGCAUGCAUAUACUACUGAGAAAUUGUCCACACAUCUUCCUAUUGAAAAUCCAAAGCCACCAGGUCACACCCAUAACCACAGUGUAAUAAAGGGCUUACUGCCGACCAAAUUCUCACAAUAACUGAAGGAUUUGGUGCUGGCUGCAUCUGGCUCACUGGUUAAGGAUACAUCCAUCUGAAUGUGUGGGAGAAUAAAAAAACUGGCAAUUUUGGGAUACCACAAAGCCCCUUUUGUUGAAGCAAAACCACUGCAUUCUCCUAAACCUACUGUUUGGGCUUGUGAUAUGCAGUAGGCAUAAAAUCAGCCCCUACGUCAUGCAAGAAUCAGUAGCUAGUAAACAUUACUUUAUAAUUUUUGAAAAGUUUGUCAUCAAACAAUAAGCUUUAGAGCAUCAAUGUGCACUGAGUGAUUCAUGCAAAAUGGGUCCUGACCACAUCCCACCAAACACGUGUUCCACUUUCUUUAGGAAUACUUUGAGAACAGGGUCACUGUGUGGACUAUCCCAAUUUUAUGGACACAAGCAAGGGAAGCCUCUAUAUUCACUCAGUCUUAUUUUUGGGACUCUUUUUCUGCAGCACCUCGAAAGACACAAUCAACUGGGACCAUCCCACCACACUGGAUGAACUUUAAUUCUUGCUCUGCAUGGCAACUGAAUCCAUUUCUGUACACUUCAUGAUGUGAUAACAAAUGAUGAGCAGUGAGCAUUUCGAAAAGAUUGUGAAGUGAAUGCAAGGGCUGUUUGCAAAAGAUAAAUUUAUUUAUGCAUGCUGAUAAAAGCUUACAUUAUACAUUGCCAUUAGCAAUUCUUCUAAUUAUUAUUCAAAACUUCUGUGUUCAAAAUAAAUCUACCAUUCAUUCCA